AAAACGACUCUCGGCAACGGAUAUCUAGGCUCUCGCAUCGAUGAAGAACGUAGCAAACUGCGAUACUUGGUGUGAAUUGCAGAAUCCCGUGAACCAUCGAGUUUUUGAACGCAAGUUGCGCCCGAAGCCGUUUGGCCGAGGGCACGUCUGCCUGGGCGUCACGC
rnacentral:rRNA from 1 species